UUUCUAUGAGCAUUGAUUUUGGUUGAUUUGGAGUUGAUAUGACUUUGUAAGAGCUUUGCAAAGUCGAGGUUUGUUUUGGAUGACUUGGGUUUUAUGAAAUAAAAUAGGGUUUACAUUUUGGGUGAUUUCAAGAGUUUGUAAUAGAUCUACAAGUGAAAUUUUGUGGAUUUAUAAUUAUAGUUGUAUUUAAUAUGUGUCGUAAAUUUGAGCUUGAUCUAACGGUUGAAUUGAGGGAUAUUGAGGUUUAAGUGGGUCAAGGUCUCAGAAAGUAGAAUUUUAGGUCUAGUGGAGGUUUUUGAAUUUUCUUGCAAUCUAUUGGUUGAAUUGGAAUAAAACUUAUGUGAGAGAAUAUUAGACUUAUUUUUCUAUAAGUAUGAGAAUUUUGAGAUCAAUCGAAAGGUGCAAAAGAGAGAUAUUGGCUCUAGAAGAUUGACAUUAAGAUUGGAGAAGAAGGCCAGCCAAUACCAGAGCUCAUUUUUGAGGAUAUCACCAAUUUGGUAACUCUGAUCCUUAUCAAAUUUUUUGUGCUUUUUUUUAACUUGUUUUUUAGAAGUGUGUAAAAUUUUAGUUAAGAUCAACGAUUUAUUCAUUAGUUAUUGAGAUUUAAAUCUGUUAUAGGAAUUAUUAGGGUUUGGUUUAGGGUUUGGUUAGGAUUUGGUUUGGAAUUUAGGAUUUGGAUUAGGAUUUAAUUUAGGAUUUAGGAUUUGGUUUAGGAUUUAGGAUUUAGAUAGGAUUUGAUUUAGGAUUUAGGAUUUGGAUUAGGGUUUGGUUUAGGAUUUAGAGUUUGGAUUGGGAUUUGGUUAGGAAUUAAGAUUUGAUUAGGAUUUGAUUUAGGGUUUUUUGAAUCUGAUUAAGCUUGCUUAGUAUUAUUAUGAUGUAAUUAGAGUGUUGUUAGUAUUCUAUUAGAAUUAAGAUUUUGUUAUUGUAAUUUCCAUUCUUUCUUCCAGAGCCAGGUGCCCAGAGCAUUCUCAAGUAAGACUUCACAUAUUACGACAACGAUAUGUCCAUAAAGCUGCAAACAACUUAGUGUCUUAAUUUGUGCCCGCUCUUGAAAUUUUUUUUGUUAAGAUUUUAUAUAAAAUCCUAUUAAUCUUUUCCAUUUGUCCAUUGGCUCUAGGGUGAUACAGUGUAAUCUUCCGAUGUUUUAUCUCAUAUUUAGCCAUGAGUGCUUCG
rnacentral:lncRNA from 1 species